rnacentral:rRNA from 1 species
GAGUUUGAUCUUGGCUCAGAUUGAACGCUGGCGGCAGGCCUAACACAUGCAAGUCGAGCGGUAGAGAGAAGCUUGCUUCUCUUGAGAGCGGCGGACGGGUGAGUAAUGCCUAGGAAUCUGCCUGGUAGUGGGGGAUAACGCUCGGAAACGGACGCUAAUACCGCAUACGUCCUACGGGAGAAAGCAGGGGACCUUCGGGCCUUGCGCUAUCAGAUGAGCCUAGGUCGGAUUAGCUAGUUGGUGAGGUAAUGGCUCACCAAGGCGACGAUCCGUAACUGGUCUGAGAGGAUGAUCAGUCACACUGGAACUGAGACACGGUCCAGACUCCUACGGGAGGCAGCAGUGGGGAAUAUUGGACAAUGGGCAAAAGCCUGAUCCAGCCAUGCCGCGUGUGUGAAGAAGGUCUUCGGAUUGUAAAGCACUUUAAGUUGGGAGGAAGGGCAGUAAUUAAUACUUUGCUGUUUUGACGUUACCGACAGAAUAAGCACCGGCUAACUCUGUGCCAGCCG